rnacentral:rRNA from 1 species
GAUGAACGCUGGCGGCGUGCUUAACACAUGCAAGUCGAACGGUGAACACGGAGCUUGCUCUGUGGGAUCAGUGGCGAACGGGUGAGUAACACGUGAGCAACCUGCCCCUGACUCUGGGAUAAGCGCUGGAAACGGCGUCUAAUACUGGAUACGAACCACGAAGGCAUCUUCAGUGGUUGGAAAGAAUUUCGGUUGGGGAUGGGCUCGCGGCCUAUCAGCUUGUUGGUGAGGUAAUGGCUCACCAAGGCGUCGACGGGUAGCCGGCCUGAGAGGGUGACCGGCCACACUGGGACUGAGACACGGCCCAGACUCCUACGGGAGGCAGCAGUGGGGAAUAUUGCACAAUGGGCGAACGCCUGAUGCAGCAACGCCGCGUGAGGGAUGACGGCCUUCGGGUUGUAAGCCUCUUUUAGCAGGGAAGAAGCGAAAGUGACGGUACCUGCAGAAAAAGCGCCGGCUAACUACGUGCCAGCAGCCGCCGUAAGAC